rfam:Oryctolagus cuniculus chromosome 9, whole genome shotgun sequence.
AAAAAGGUUUUACUGAAAACCAUUAUAGGGAAAGAAUCAAGUAAAAU